AAUGACAAGGUCAAAGUCCUUUACCCAACACUCAAGAACCUCUACUAUUUGGUACAAAUCAUCUUUCCAAGUUUAUUUUCCUCUACUAUUUCCUCAUCUACAAAAUGGGAAUGGAAAUAAAACCUCCCUCCCAAGAUUAUGGUGGUAUGUGGAGAACCACAAGUACUGAAAAGGAGAGCAGCAAUGGGAGAACAGCAGCAAGAAUUGAGAUAAAAUGUUAAUAAAGAAAAGAAAAAUCUUAUUCCCUAGAGGCACCAGCUCAUGCAUAGCCAAAGAUAAGUGAAACUGAAUACAAGUUUUAAACGAAGAUAUUCCAUCUUCACCAAAUGAAAACCUCUGUUGCAGUAGUAUAUGCACUUAUUGAAAAAUAAAUUCUCUAGCUCUUUUACUCCAAACUUA